GUCUGUAUGAAGUUAUAUGAAGUCUGACCUGCCCAUUGAAUAAUUUAAAAGGCCGCAGUAUACUAACUGUGCAAAGGUAGCAUAAUCAUUAGUUUUUUAAUUGAAGGCUUGUAUGAACGGUUGGACAAAGGAUAAUCUGUUUUUAUUUUUGUUUUUGAAUUUAACUUUUAAGUGAAAAGGCUUAAAUAAAUUUAAGGGACGAUAAGACCCUAUAAAUCUUUACAUUGAAUUAUUUUUUUAUUAAUUUAUAAUGUAAAUAAGGAAUAAAUAAAUAAAAUUUGUUGUAUUGGGGUGAUAAGAAUAUAAAAAAUUAACUGUUCUAAAUUUAUAAUCAAAGCUGUUUGAAAAUAAUAGAUCCUUUUUAGAGAUUAAAAGUUUAAGUUACUUUAGGGAUAACAGCGUUAUUUUUUUUGAGAGUUCAUAUCGAAAAAAAAGUUUGCGACCUCGAUGUUGAAUUAAAAUUUCUUUAUGGUGUAGUAGUUAUAAGAGAAAGUCUGUUCGACUUUUAAAUUUUU
rnacentral:rRNA from 1 species